rnacentral:rRNA from 1 species
UACGUAGGAGGCAAGCGUUGUCCGGAUUUAUUGGGCGUAAAGCGCGCGCAGGCGGCACUCCAAGUACGGUGUGAAAUCUCCCUGCUCAACGGGGAGGGUGCAUUGUAAACUGGGGAGCUAGAGGACGGUAGAGGGGGGGGUAGAAUUGCUGGUGUAGCGGUGAAAUGCGUAGAGAUCAGCAGGAAUACCCGUGGCGAAGGCGGCCCCCUGGGCCGAACCUGACGCUGAGGCGCGAAGGCUAGGGGAGCGAACGGG